GACGAACGCUGGCGGCGUGCCUAAUACAUGCAAGUAGAACGCACAGUUUAUACCGUAGCUUGCUACACCAUAAACGGUGAGGUGCGAACGGGGGAGGAACGCGUAGGUAACCUGCCUGGUAGCGUGGGAUAACUAUGGGAAACGAUAGCUAAUACCGCAUAAUAUUAAUUAUUGCAUGAUAAUUGAUGGAAAUAUGCAAUUGCAUCACUACCAGAUGGACCUGCGUUGUAUUAGCUAGUAGGUGAGGUAACGGCUGACCGAGGCGACGAUACAUAGCCGACAUGAGAGGGUGAUCGGCCACACUUGGACUGAGACACGGCCAAGAUUCCUACGGGAGGCAGCAGUAGGGAAUCUGCGGCAAUGGAGGAAAGUAUGACCGAGCAAGGGCGCGUGAGUGAAGAAGGUUUUCGGAUCGUAAAGCUCUGUUGUAAGAGAAGAACGGGUGUGAGGGUGGAAAGUUCUCACUGUGACGGUAUAUUAGCAGAGAGGGACGGCUAACUUCGUG
rnacentral:rRNA from 1 species